rnacentral:rRNA from 1 species
UACGUAGGGUGCAAGCGUUAAUCGGAAUUACUGGGCGUAAAGCGUGCGCAGGCGGUGAUGUAAGACAGUUGUGAAAUCCCCGGGCUCAACCUGGGAACUGCAUCUGUGACUGCAUCGCUGGAGUGAUGCAGAGGUCGAUGGAAUUGCCGGUGUAGUGGUGAAAUGCGUAGAGAUCGGCAGGAACACCCAGGGGGAAACCAGUCGACUGGGCAUCUACUGACGCUGAGGUGCGAGAGCGUGGGGAGCGAACCGG